GGUCUGAAGGCACGUCGAAUCAUGGUGGCUCUGGGAGCAAUGGGUACGGAGGAAGUAAAUUUGGAAGCUUUGGCUAUAUGGCAACUGACGCGGUGUCUGCAUUGGGUACUUCAGCAAGCGACUUAACACGGACGGUAAUAGAGUCGAAACAAAACCAAGGUGGAGAUCAAGAGGAGGGCGAAGGCGAGGAGAAUGACAAGGCGGCUGGCAAGACGAAUGGCAAGUCGGAAAGCAAGACGGAUGGCAAAGCGCCGGCCAAAGCGAAUCGUGCCGGGUAAUCCACAAAGCCUAAGUGAAUUGCAAAAACAGAUCUUUAAGUCAACAGGAAAACCUUGGUUUCAUUUUUUCCAAUUUGUACGAAGACGUGAUGACAAGUUACCAUCACUCGCACUAAUGCUAAAGUCACUAAGAAGAGAAAAAGAUCUAUAGAUGAAGCCAAAUUAUGACAAUCGUUCUGUUGUGCGUUUCUCCUUGCUGUCCUGCAUUUCAAUAAAUGUUUUAAGGUACACUU